GACGAACGCUGGCGGCGUGCUUAACACAUGCAAGUCGAACGGAAAGGCCCUGCUUUUGUGGGGUGCUCGAGUGGCGAACGGGUGAGUAACACGUGAGUAACCUGCCCUUGACUUUGGGAUAACUUCAGGAAACUGGGGCUAAUACCGGAUAGGAGCUCCUGCUGCAUGGUGGGGGUUGGAAAGUUUCGGCGGUUGGGGAUGGACUCGCGGCUUAUCAGCUUGUUGGUGGGGUAGUGGCCUACCAAGGCUUUGACGGGUAGCCGGCCUGAGAGGGUGACCGGCCACAUUGGGACUGAGAUACGGCCCAGACUCCUACGGGAGGCAGCAGUGGGGAAUAUUGCACAAUGGGCGGAAGCCUGAUGCAGCAACGCCGCGUGCGGGAUGACGGCCUUCGGGUUGUAAACCGCUUUCGCCUGUGACGAAGCGUGAGUGACGGUAAUGGGUAAAGAAGCACCGGCGAACUACGU
rnacentral:rRNA from 1 species